UUGGGGCCCUUGUAUUAAGGUUGUAGCUAUUUGAAACCUUUUUUUACACUACAAAUAAAGUAAGCGAUAUCAGGCUUUUAGAAUAAGGCUUGGCUCUGACCUGUAUAUAUAGUAUGGAUUAAGAAUAACACAUGAUUUUUAUAGAAGGAGGCGAGGAAGAGGACAUUAGAGAUUGGGGGUAGUAUACCAACACCGGCUCUAGUCUUCUUAGGUAUUAUAAAGGACAUGAUGCUUUGUAAAGUCCCGCUAACAUCAGUGUUUAAUGUUAAGGAAAAGAGGAAAUUCUGAAUUAGUUUAGUACUAGAGGCCUGGUAAACUUGGUGCCAGCAUCCGCGGUUAGACCAAGACGGCCGAAUUAUAUUAUUUAGGUUGAAAAGGCAGUUAAGCAGAGGCUUAAGUUAAAUAAUUGUUUAUCAGAAGGUGAAAUUUGAACAUAAACAAAUAAAUCAUAGAAUACUGUCGAAGCUGAAUCUGCGACAGUUCCUAGGGAAACUGGGAUUAGAUACCCCACUAUUACUUACUGUAAAUUGACUAUGUUUACCUGAGUACUACGAACGUAUAAAAUUUAAAACUCAAAGAGCUUGGCGGUGUUUUAGACCACUUAGGGGAACCUGUCUCGUAAUCGAAAAUCCACGUUAGACCUAACCUUUCUUUGUGCUCAGUCUGUAUACCGUCGUCGUCAGGUAACUUUAAAGAAUAUAGAAGUUGGCCAAAAAACUGUCAUUAGUUUAGACGUCAGAUCAAGGUGCAACUUAUAGAAAGGAGAGGAUGGGUUACAAUUAACAUUCAUAAUACGAAAAGAAGGUUGAAAUGUUCCAAUUGGAAGGAGGACUUAAAAGUAAGAAUGAAAUUAUAAAAAUUUCCUGAAUUUGGCUCUGAAACGUGCACACAUCGCCCGUCGCUCUCGUUGAAAAAUGAGAUAAGUCGUAACAUAGUAGGGGUAAUGGAAAUUGUUCCUGGAUGA
rnacentral:ncRNA from 1 species